AUGGAUAAGGUUUUGUUGGAUGUCUUUGUUGAACAUCACAAUAGAGGUGAUCAAGCCCAAAAUGGAUGGAAGCCACAUGUCUACAAUGCUGCUAUAAAGGCAAUAUGUGAUAAGUGUGGACUAAAGGUCACAAAGGAUAAAAUAUGUUUAAGGAUGAAGACUUUUGACAAGCAUUAUGCUACAAUUAGCAAGAUUCUUUCUCAGAGUGGAUUUGGUUGGGAUUGGGUCAAUAACAAGCUACUCAUGGAUAGUGAUGAUGUGUGAACAAAUAUGGUGUGUGCAGGCUAAUGUGAAGGCACUUGCUACAAGAACAAAGAAGUGAAGAAUUGGGAGGCAAUCUGCACAAUAUACUCCAAAGAUCAUGCAACCGGUGAAGGUGCAAUGACAGGUGCUGAAAGUGAAGCACAACCAGCAGAACUAGACGUAGUAGAUGUUGAAGCCUCUCCAGAAUUGCCACAAAAAAGGCAGCGAACGGGCGAUGCUAUCUUGUGCAUGCUUGGAGACAUGAAGGGUUCUUUCCAAGAUGCUUUGAAGUCACUUGAGCCACUAGAGCAGCCCAAGGUUACUCCUCCUCUUGAAAUCAUUGUUGCCCUUGAAAAGAUCCCGGACUUGGCUCGUUCAGACAUGUUGCGAGCAUAUGGUAAACUCAUCCUUAGUGAACGCUUAUUCCAAGCGCUUAUGGAGUUGCCCAUGGAGUUUAGGAAGGAAUGGUUGUUGAUGCUCAAUGAGAAGAACAACGUUUGA
rnacentral:rRNA from 1 species